UUUUUAAUACCCUUAAAAUCCUAGCAGUAUACACCUAACUUACCCCUUUAUGGCCGUACUUUUAUGUUUCUUCACCAAGUAUAGGUCUCCUUUCUUGAUGUCUGAAUGUCUGAAAUUUUACUGAAUUUUUUUUCAACUGGUUUACCAACCAGUUUUAGGCAGAGCUACAAUAGUAUGCACUGAGCUCGUAAUCACGCAUCCC
rnacentral:lncRNA from 1 species